rfam:Beta vulgaris subsp. vulgaris Bvchr9.sca004.con0022.1, whole genome shotgun sequence.
AGACCAUGAUGGGGACAUUCUCUCUGGAGGUCCUUGAAUCUUUCCCAAGCCUCAUGUAAAUAUUCGUCGUUAUCAUGGGUGAAAUUUGUGAUCUGACUACACAACCU